GAUGAACGCUAGCGGCAGGCUUAACACAUGCAAGUCGAGGGGUAACAGAAGAAAGCUUGCUUUCUUGCUGACGACCGGCGCACGGGUGCGUAACACGUAUGCAACCUACCCUUUACUGGAGGAUAGCCCAGAGAAAACUGGAUUAAUACUCCAUAAUAUUAAGUUUUCGCAUGAUUACUUAAUUAAAGCUCCGGCGGUAAAGGAUGGGCAUGCGGCCCAUUAGUUUGUUGGUGAGGUAACGGCUCACCAAGACUUCGAUGGGUAGGGGUUCUGAGAGGAUUAUCCCCCACACUGGUACUGAGACACGGACCAG
rnacentral:rRNA from 1 species